UACGUAGGGUGCAGGCGUUAAUCGGAAUUACUGGGCGUAAAGCGUGCGCAGGCGGCUUGCUAAGUCAGGUGUGAAAUCCCCGGGCUUAACCUGGGAACUGCGCUUGUUACUGGCAGGCUUGAGUGUGGCAGAGGGAGGUGGAAUUCCACGUGUAGCAGUGAAAUGCGUAGAGAUGUGGAGGAACACCGAUGGCGAAGGCAGCACCCUGGACUAACACUGACGCUCAUGCACGAAAGCGUGGGGAGCAAACAGG
rnacentral:rRNA from 1 species